rnacentral:rRNA from 1 species
UGGGGAAUAUUGCACAAUGGGCGCAAGCCUGAUGCAGCCAUGCCGCGUGUAUGAAGAAGGCCUUCGGGUUGUAAAGUACUUUCAGUCGGGAGGAAGGUGGUAAGGUUAAUAACCUUAUCAAUUGACGUUACCGACAGAAGAAGCACCGGCUAACUCCGUGCCAGCAGCUGCGGUAAUACGGAGGGUGCAAGCGUUAAUCGGAAUUACUGGGCGUAAAGCGCACGCAGGCGGUUUGUUAAGUCAGAUGUGAAAUCCCCGGGCUCAACCUGGGAACUGCAUCUGAUACUGGCAAGCUUGAGUCUCGUAGAGGGGGGUAGAAUUCCAGGUGUAGCGGUGAAAUGCGUAGAGAUCUGGAGGAAUACCGGUGGCGAAGGCGGCCCCCUGGACGAAGACUGACGCUCAGGUGCGAAAGCGUGGGGAGCAAACAGG